rnacentral:tRNA from 1 species
GUCCUCGUAGCUCACCUGGACAGAGCGGCAGAUUCCUAAUCUGCAGGUAGUAGGUUCGAGCCCUACCGAGGACG